rnacentral:misc_RNA from 1 species
AAGAGUUAUAAUACUCCUUAAAACCAUCGUAAACUUAUCCCGUCAGUGUUGCUUCGGCGGGCGGCUCCUCCCUGGAGCCGCAGCCCAACCCCCUCUCUGGAGGGGUGCGGGUGCCCGCCGGAGGUACAAAACUCUUUUGUAUUAUAGUGGCAUCUCUGAGUAAACAAGCAAUAAGUCA